ACCUGCGGAAGAUCAUACAGAGUUCAUGCCUCACGGGUAGAUCUCCCACCCUUGAAUAUUAUACCUUCGUUGCUUUGGCAGGCCGUGGAAACACCACGGGCUUCGGUACGUGCGUGCCUGCCAGAGGAAACAAACUCUGUUUUUAGUGAUGUCUGAGUACUAUAUAAUAGUUAAAACUUUCAACAACGGAUCUCUUGGUUCUGGCAUCGAUGAAGAACGCAGCGAAAUGCGAUAAGUAAUGUGAAUUGCAGAAUUCAGUGAAUCAUCGAAUCUUUGAACGCACAUUGYGCCCCGUGGUAUUCCGCGGGGCAUGCCUGUUCGAGCGUCAUUUCAACCCAUCAAGCUUCGGCUUGGUCUUGGGGCCUGCGGUUUCGCAGCCUCUAAACUCAGUGGCGGUGCUUCUGAGCUCUGAGCGUAGUAAUUUUUUCUCGCUAUAGGGUCUCGGAGGUUACAUGCCAACAACC
rnacentral:rRNA from 1 species